ACCCGCUGAAUUUAAGCAUAUUAUUAAGCGCAGGACAAGAAAAUAACAAUGAUUCUCUUAGUAACUGCGAGUGAACCGAGAAAAGCCCAACGUUAAAAGCUGGACCUUUAAAAGGGUUUCGCGUUGUAACGUAUAGAUGUGUCCUCAAAGUAAAAGCGUGAAUUAAAGUUACAUGGAGAGGUACGCCACAGAGGGUGAUAGCCCCGUAUAAAAUUUGUGCAGUAAUUUUACUAAGUAAACACAAUCUAAGAGUCGUGUUGUUUGGGAUUGCAACACUAAGUAGGUGGUAAACUUCACCUAAGGCUAAAUACGUCCACGAGACCGAUAGCAAACAAGUACCGUGAGGGGAAGUUGAAAAGUACUCUGAAAAGAAAGUGAAAAGCACGUGAAACUGUUCAUAGGGAAGCAGACAGUUGAAUCGAAGCUCAUUGCUGGUUGCGUAGUUAAAGAAAUUUGGCUGCGUUUAUUAGUAGUGGUGCGCGCUGAGCUUGUCGUGAGUGUACGCAAGUACGUUAAAUGCACGCCAGCGAUAUCAGUUUGAUAAUGACAGUGCUGAAUUAUCGGCAUAGGUUGUUGAAGGAUGAUGUCGAUUGCUAUAGGUGCAUGGCAUGACAUGGGUUAAUAAGAAAACAAUUGAUUUAAGCCAGUAUUUUGUAAGUGAAUAAGUAAGCUGUUAAGUUUACGUGUUUAUAAGCCAGAUAAUAGCCAAAUCGAUUUAUUCUCAGCGAGAUAUGCUGCUGUCUGACCCGUCUUGAAACACGGACCAAGGAGGCUAACGUAUACGCGAGUCAAGGGGAAACAUAUAUAGGUGUUAACUUUUAAACCCUAUGGCGUAAUGAAAGUAAAAAACGAGAUCUCCAAUCGAGUUGUCAGGAGAGCACCGUUGGCCGUUUGAGUUCAUUGGGACUUUGAAUGAGCUGGAGCGUAUGCGAUAGGACCCGAAAGAUGGUGAACUAUGCCUGAGUAGAAUGAAGCCAGAGGAAACUCUGGUGGAGGUUCGAAGCGGUUCUGACGUGCAAUUCGAUCGUCAAACUUGGGUAUAGGGGCGAUAGACUAAUCGAACCAUCUAGUAGCUGGUUCCCUUCGAAAUAUCUCUCAGGAUAGCUGGAGCCUGAGCCAAAAGCAGUUUCAUCGGGUAGAGCUAAUGAUUAGAGGAAUUAGGGUCAUAACAGGCCUUAACCUAUUCUCAAACUGCGAACCGGUGAGAAAGAUAGUGUUGCUUGUAUGCACUCGUGUGUUGAACGCUGUUUUAGAAUGCUAGGGCUCCAAGUGGGCCGUUUCUGGUAAGCAGAACUGGCGAUGCGGGAUGAACCGAGAGCUAGGUUAAGGUGCCUAAAUAAACGCCAAAGGACACCACUAAAGGAGUUGGUCGAUGAAGACAGCAGGACGGUGGCCCUGAAAGUAGGAAUCCGCUAAGGAGUGUCUAACAACUCACCUGCCGAAUCGACUGGCCCUGAAGAUGGAUGGCGCUAAAGCGUUUUACCGAUACCUGGCCAUCAACAUUAGUGCGUGAUACAUGUUGAUGGGUAGAAGGGCGCAAAGAUAGCGGCGAAGAGCAUAGCGUAAGCUUGCUUGGAGCUGUCUUUGGUGCGGAUCUUGGUGGUAGUAGCAGUUUAUUCAAGUGAAACGCUUGAAGGCCGAAGUGGAGAAGGGUUCCGCGAAAACAUCAUUUGAACGCGGGUUAGUCGGUCCUAAGUGGCAGCUUACGUGCCGAUAUACAAAGGGGAAAAUCGGUAUGCUUUUGGCAGUGUGUAACAGCGCUGUCGGGGUGUAUUAGAGUCUCAAGCCACGAAAGGGAAUCAGGUUAAUAUUCCUGAACCAGGAUACGGAUAGUUUAUGUAAUGAUUGUAAUGCCUCGGUGUUAUGAUUGUUAUGUAGAUGCAGCGGUAACGCAAAACGAACUCAGAGACAUUUUAGGCAGUCCUAGGAAGAGUUAUCUUCUCUGUUUAACGAAACGAAGCCCUGGAAUUGAGUCAUUCAGAGAUAGGGCCGAGGUUUCGGAAGAGCAUCGCACAUUUUGCGGUGUCUGGUGUGCUGUCUAAGAUCCUUGAAAAUCUGAGGAAGUGAAUGAUUAUCGUAUCUGGCCGUACCGUAAUCCGCUGCAGGUCUCCAAGGUGAACAGCCUCUGGCACUAGAACAAUGUGGGUAAGGGAAGUCGGCAAAAUAGAUUCGUAACUUCGGGAUAAGGAUUGGCUCUAUGGAUUGGGCUAAUCGGGCUAUUUUGCGUAGUUAAAGUGCGUCGGCAUUUGAGUUCUUUUACUGUGAGCUUCGGUGAAUGGUUUAGGAAUUUGAUAUCUGAUGCGCUUGAUUAUGUGAAUAGUUAGAUACGUAGUAGUGGUAUAGGCAACUAUGGCGCUGCUGCGUAUUGUUACGGUUAGCUAAGAUCAAUCAACAUAGAACUGUCACUGACUAGGGGAAUCCGACUGUUUAAUUAAAACAAAGCAUUGCGAUGGCUAUAAAUAGUGUUGACGCAAUGUGAUUUCUGCCCAGUGCUCUGAAUGUCAAAGUGUGGAAACACAACCAAGCGCGGGUAAACGGCGGGUGUAACUAUGACUCUCUCAAGAUAGCCAAAUGCCUCGUCAUCUAAUUAGUGACGCGCAUGAAUGGAUCAACGAGAUUCCCACUGUCCCUACCUUCCAUCUAGCGAAACCACAGUCAAGGGAACGGGCUUGACUGAGACAGCGGGGAAAGAAGACCCUGUUGAGCUUGACUCUAGUUUGAUAUGGUUAGGAAACAUGAGAGGUGUAGCGUAGGUGGGAGAUAUGUAAGCUUGCUUAUGUAUCGAUCUUGAAACACCACCACUUUCAUCGUUUCUUCACUUAAUCGGUGAUAAGGGAGUGCCCAGUGGAAAGGUUGCUGUGGCAACGGCAUAAUUAAAGUUAUACUUGUACCACAAUAAGUAUUCUAGGGUAGCUGGUGUCACGUAUACUAAGAAUUGUAAGACGAUUGGUGCUGCAGAGUGUUGCCACGUAUACGUGAUUGUAGUAUUUUGCAGUACUUUAACUAAUUGUUGACCCCAACUAUGCCUUCGGGUGUGUGUGUGACCGAUGACAGUGUCAGAUGGGGAGUUUGGCUGGGGCGGUACACCCUCUAAAAUGCAACGAGGGUGUCCAAAGGUGAGCUCACGGUGGACAGAAACCACCGGUAGAGUAUAAGGGCAAAAGCUCGCUUGAUUUUGAUUUUCAGUAUGAAUACAAACCACGAAAGUGUGGCCUAGCGAUCCUUUAUAAUGACCUGAAAGUUUCAGGAUAGAGGUGUCAGAAAAGUUACCACAGGGAUAACUGGCUUGUGGCUGCCAAGCGAACAUAGCGACGUAGCUUUUUGAUCCUUCGAUGUCGGCUCUUCCUAUCAUUGCGCAGCAGCAUACGCAAAGUGUUGGAUUGUUCACCCCCUAACAGGGAACGUGAGCUGGGUUUAGAC
rnacentral:rRNA from 1 species